GUAACGGCGAGUGAAGCGGCAACAGCUCAAAUUUGAAAUCUGGGGUCCUUUGGGCCUCCGAGUUGUAGUUUGCAGAGGGAGCCUCGGAGGGCGUGCCGGCCCAAGUGCCUUGGAACAGGAUACCGCAGAGGGUGAGAGUCCCGUAUCCGGCCGGUGGCGCGCUCCGUGUGAGGCCUCUUCGACGAGUCGAGUUGUUUGGGAAUGCAGCUCCAAGCGGGUGGUAAAUUCCAUCUAAAGCUAAAUACUGGCCAGAGACCGAUAGCGAACAAGUAGAGUGAUCGAAAGAUGAAAAGCACUUUGAAAAGAGAGUCAAACAGUACGUGAAAUUGUUGAAAGGGAAGCGCAUGGGGGCAGACUUGGCCGCGGGGUUCAGGGUGCGUUCUCGCGCCUGCACUUCCCCGCGGACAGGCCAGCAUCGGUUCUGGGGGCCGGACAAAGGGGCCGGGAAGGUAGCCGCCUUCGGGCGGUGUUAUAGCCCGGCGCGCAAUGCGGCCACCUGGGACCGAGGACCGCGCUUCGGCAAGGAUGCUGGCGUAAUGGCCUCAUGCGGCCCGUCUUGAAACACGGACCAAGGAGUCUAACAUCUAUGCGAGUGUUUGGGUGGCAAGCCCGGGCGCGCAAUGAAAGUGAACGGAGGUGGGAGCUGUCGUAGGCGCACCAUCGACCGAUCCGGACGUUUUCCGAAGGAUUUGAGUAGGAGCAUAGCUGUUGGGACCCGAAAGAUGGUGAACUAUGCGUGAAUAGGGUGAAGCCAGAGGAAACUCUGGUGGAGGCUCGCAGCGGUUCUGACGUGCAAAUCGAUCGUCAAAUUUGCGUAUAGGGGCGAAAGACUAAUCGAACCAUCUAGUAGCUGGUUCCUGCCGAAGUUUCCCUCAGGAUAGCAGUAACGUAUUCAGUUUUAUGAGGUAAAGCGAACGAUUAGGGAGCUAGGGGUUGAAACAACCUUUAUCCAUUCUCGAACUUUAAAUAUGUAAGAAGUCCUUGUUGCUUUGUUGAACGUGGACACUCGAAUGCAGCGUUACUAGUGGGCCAUUUUUGGUAAGCAGAACUGGCGAUGCGGGAUGAACCGAACGUGGGGUUAAGGUGCCGGAAUGCACGCUCAUCAGACACCACAAAAGGUGUUGGUUCAUCCAGACAGCAGGACGGUGGCCAUGGAAGUCGGAAUCCGCUAAGGAGUGUGUAACAACUCACCUGCCGAAUGAACCAGCCCUGAAAAUGGAUGGCGCUCAAGCGUGCUACCCAUACCCCACCGUCUUCGUGCGAGGGUUGACGAAGACGAGUAGGCAGGCGUGGAGGUUUUGUGACGAAGCCCA
rnacentral:rRNA from 2 species